UACGUAGGUGGCAAGCGUUGUCCGGAAUUACUGGGCGUAAAGCGUGCGCAGGCGGUUUUGUAAGUCUGACGUGAAAUCCCCGGGCUCAACCUGGGAAUUGCGUUGGAGACUGCAAGGCUAGAAUCUGGCAGAGGGGGGUAGAACUCCACGUGUAGCAGUGAAAUGCGUAGAGAUGUGGAGGAACACCGAUGGCGAAGGCAGCCCCCUGGGUCAAGAUUGACGCUCAUGCACGAAAGCGUGGGGAGCAAACAGG
rnacentral:rRNA from 1 species